rnacentral:rRNA from 1 species
GCUUGCUGGGGGGAUUAGUGGCGAACGGGUGAGUAACACGUGAGUAACCUGCCCUUGACUCUGGGAUAAGCCUGGGAAACUGGGUCUAAUACCGGAUAUGACCUUCCAUCGCAUGGUGGUUGGUGGAAAGCUUUUGUGGUUUUGGAUGGACUCGCGGCCUAUCAGCUUGUUGGUGGGGUAAUGGCCUACCAAGGCGACGACGGGUAGCCGGCCUGAGAGGGUGACCGGCCACACUGGGACUGAGACACGGCCCAGACUCCUACGGGAGGCAGCAGUGGGGAAUAUUGCACAAUGGGCGCAAGCCUGAUGCAGCGACGCCGCGUGAGGGAUGACGGCCUUCGGGUUGUAAACCUCUUUCAGUAGGGAAGAAGCCGUAAGGUGACGGUACCUGCAGAAGAAGCGCCGGCUAACUACGUGCCAGCAGCCGCGGUAAUACGUAGGGCGCAAGCGUUAUCCGGAAUUAUUGGGCGUAAAGAGCUCGUAGGCGGUUUGUCGCGUCUGCCGUGAAAGUCCGGGGCUCAACUCCGGAUCUGCGGUGGGUACGGGCAGACUAGAGUGAUGUAGGGGAGACUGGAAUUCCUGGUGUAGCGGUGAAAUGCGCAGAUAUCAGGAGGAACACCGAUGGCGAAGGCAGGUCUCUGGGCAUUAACUGACGCUGAGGAGCGAAAGCAUGGGGAGCGAACAGGAUUAGAUACCCUGGUAGUCCAUGCCGUAAACGUUGGGCACUAGGUGU